UGCUCUAUGGCCCAGGCUGGCUUUGAAUUUAUUUUUAUAUUAUUGUGGUAAAAUAUAUAUCACAAACCAUGCCAUGCUAAUCCUUUUCAGAUGUGCAAUUCAGUGGUGUGAAUUAUAUUCACAAUGUACAACCAUCACUACAUCUACUUCCAAAACCUUCCCACCACUCCAUGUAGAAACUCUGUAUCCAUUAAUCAAUAACUCCCAUUCCCCCAUCUCUCCCCAUCCCUGGUAGCCCCUAAUCUGCUUUCUGUCUCUGUGAAUUCUGCCUAUUCUAGGAACCUCAUUUAAGUAGAAUCCUGUGGUUUUUGUCCUUUAGUGCCUGUGUUAUUUCACUCAACAUAAUGUUUCCGAAGUUCCUCCAUGUUGUAACAUGUGUCAGCAUUUUGUUCCUUUUCAUAGCUGAGUGCUAUUCCAUUGUAUGGACAUACCACAUCUCCUCCAUCCAUUCAUCGGUUGAUAGGCCAGCCCCACAUCAACAAGAGAUGCAACUCCAUGGGGUUGUGAACAUCACCAGGAUGUGGGGCUCACUGGGGGCCAUCCUAGGGGACGGCUGCCCUAGUAGAUUUUGUGUUCAAAGCCAAGUCUCCACUAGAAUUUCACCUUCACGGGGUCAAGAACCCAGUCUGCAUUUUUACCCCAGUUCGCAGCAGAGGGCCUGACAUGAAGCAGAUGUGCAGUUGAGGAGGCAGCCCACUCACUGGGGAGCUGCAGAGGGAGACGGUGCUGGUUGCUGGGGUCCAGGAAGCUUCUGGAAUGAAGGAACAACAGAACUAGCACUGGAAGAGGCGAGAGGCGUUUUCAUCUGGAUGUGGGUGAAGGGUGGACAAGCUUCUUCUCAGAGCCAGGACAAUGAGGACAGGCUGAGGGAUGUCAGACCAUAGCCUUGUCUCCCGCGGGCCAGGCAGAGCAUCCCAGGACACCCACCUUCACAGGCCAUUGUGAAGAUGAAAUGGGAGAACACAAGGCAAAGACCUGAUGCAGGGCCUAGGACAUGGAAGUCCCCAGCAAAGAUUUCCUCCUUCCUUGGGACAAGGCAGUACUGAACAGUACAGAAAGGAGAAUGAAAAGUAGGAAGAAGAAAUUAAGAUCUUGAAGCAGUCACACAAAACAGAAUCCCAAAGUAAUAUAACCAAAAGGGAUUUAGGUGUGUUUUACAGAAAAUGUUUAAGAGGGAUGAUUGGAAAGUAUUAUGUAGAUAUAUUUGUGUAUGAUAUGCUUCUGCAAUAGAUACAGUCAGAAUUUGGAAUCAGAAUUUCUGGGCUCCAGGAAUUACUAUUUUAAUUUUUUCUACCAAAGUUUAGUUUCUUCUACUCCAGAAUUUCAUACAAAUCGAAUCAUAUGACCGGGCAUGGUAGCUCACACCUAAAAUCCUGGCACUUUGGGAGGCCAAGACAGGAGGGAUUGCUUGCACCUAGG